UACGGAGGGGGCUAGCGUUGUUCGGAAUUACUGGGCGUAAAGCGCACGUAGGCGGGUCGUUAAGUCAGGGGUGAAAUCCUGGAGCUCAACUCCAGAACUGCCUUUGAUACUGGCGAUCUUGAGUUCGGGAGAGGUGAGUGGAACUGCGAGUGUAGAGGUGAAAUUCGUAGAUAUUCGCAAGAACACCAGUGGCGAAGGCGGCUCACUGGCCCGAUACUGACGCUGAGGCACGAAAGCGUGGGGAGCAAACAGG
rnacentral:rRNA from 1 species